rnacentral:rRNA from 1 species
AUUGAACGCUGGCGGCAGGCCUAACACAUGCAAGUCGAGCGGAUGAGAGGAGCUUGCUCUUCGAUUCAGCGGCGGACGGGUGAGGAAUGCCUAGGAAUUUGCCUGGUAGUGGGGGAUAACGUUCCGAAAGGAACGCUAAUACCGCAUACGUCCUACGGGAGAAAGCAGGGGACCUUCGGGCCUUGCGCUAUCAGAUGAGCCUAGGUCGGAUUAGCUAGUUGGUGAGGUAAUGGCUCACCAAGGCGACGCUCCGUAACUGGUCUGAGAGGAUGAGCAGUGUCACUGGAACUGAGACACGACCCAGACUCCUACGGGAGGAAGCAGUGGUGAAUAUUGAACGAUGGGCGAGAGCCUGAUCCAGCCAUGCCGCGUGUGUGAAGAAGGUCUUCGGAUUGGAAAGUACUUUAAGUUGGGAGGAAGGGCACUAAGAUAAUACCUUUGUGUAUUGACGUUACCGACAGAAUAAGCACCGGCUAACUCUGUGCCAGCAGCCGCCGUAAUAC